CGGGUUGUAAACCUCUUUCGACAGGGACGAAGCGUAAGUGACGGUACCUGUAGAAGAAGCACCGGCCAACUACGUGCCAGCAGCCGCGGUAAUACGUAGGGUGCGAGCGUUGUCCGAAGCCUGGGAAACUGGGUCUAAUACCGGAUAUGACCUGCUGUCGCAUGGCGGUGGGUGGAAAGAUUUAUCGGUGCGAGAUGGGCCCGCGGCCUAUCAGCUUGUUGGUGGGGUAAUGGCCUACCAAGGCGACGACGGGUAGCCGGCCUGAGAGGGCGACCGGCCACACUGGGACUGAGACACGGCCCAGACUCCUACGGGAGGCAGCAGUGGGGAAUAUUGCACAAUGGGCGAAAGCCUGAUGCAGCGACGCCGCGUGAGGGAUGACGGCCUUCGGGUUGUAAACCUCUUUCGACAGGGACGAAGCGUAAGUGACGGUACCUGUAGAAGAAGCACCGGCCAACUACGUGCCAGCAGCCGCGGUAAUACGUAGGGUGCGAGCGUUGUCCGGAAUUACUGGGCGUAAAGAGCUUGUAGGCGGUUUGUCGCGUCGUCUGUGAAAACUCACAGCUCAACUGUGAGCUUGCAGGCGAUACGGGCAGACUUGAGUACUGCAGGGGAGACUGGAAUUCCUGGUGUAGCGGUGAAAUGCGCAGAUAUCAGGAGGAACACCGGUGGCGAAGGCGGGUCUCUGGGCAGUAACUGACGCUGAGAAGCGAAAGCGUGGGUAGCGAACAGGAUUAGAUACCCUGGUAGUCCACGCCGUAAACGGUGGGUACUAGGUGUGGGUUUCCUUCCACGGGAUCCGUGCCGUAGCUAACGCAUUAAGUACCCCGCCUGGGGAGUACGGCCGCAAGGCUAAAACUCAAAGGAAUUGACGGGGGCCCGCACAAGCGGCGGAGCAUGUGGAUUAAUUCGAUGCAACGCGAAGAACCUUACCUGGGUUUGACAUACACCGGAAACCUGCAGAGAUGUAGGCCCCCUUGUGGUCGGUGUACAGGUGGUGCAUGGCUGUCGUCAGCUCGUGUCGUGAGAUGUUGGGUUAAGUCCCGCAACGAGCGCAACCCUUGUCCUGUGUUGCCAGCGCGUUAUGGCGGGGACUCGCAGGAGACUGCCGGGGUCAACUCGGAGGAAGGUGGGGACGACGUCAAGUCAUCAUGCCCCUUAUGUCCAGGGCUUCACACAUGCUACAAUGGCCGGUACAGAGGGCUGCGAUACCGUGAGGUGGAGCGAAUCCCUUAAAGCCGGUCUCAGUUCGGAUCGGGGUCUGCAACUCGACCCCGUGAAGUUGGAGUCGCUAGUAAUCGCAGAUCAGCAACGCUGCGGUGAAUACGUUCCCGGGCCUUGUACACACCGCCCGUCACGUCAUGAAAGUCGGUAACACCCGAAGCCGGUGGCACAGAGGGCUGCGGAGGGAGCCGUCGAAGGUGGGAUCGUUCGGAUCGGGGUCUGCAACUCGA
rnacentral:rRNA from 1 species